CUCACAGAGAAAAAAUAAAUUAAUUUCUUUCAAGGCAAUCCAUCUGAUUUGAGUUGUUCAUUUAACAGAGGAAAGUGAAGUUGAAAAGCAAGUCUCCAAAGGCCAGCUCUGACAGAGCAAGAAGAUACCUGGAAAGCUUUGAGAGCUACUGCUCAUUCAGCAGCUUAUGGUUCCUUCUGGAGAUCUAACUUAGCCUGGAAACUUGGAAGGGUUGAUGCCACCUUGCCUUGGACAUCGUCAAUUCAACAGCGCUACAGGGAAAAGAACAAAGUGAAGGAUUUAUUGUAGGACGGCAUUAGCAAGGGUGUGGUAAGGGACAAGACUGAGACCAAAACCUAACUGUGUACUGUAAAUGCAAAGGAAAGAAGGGAUAACUCACCUCUCUUUUAUCACUUCCACAGUGCAUUUCAUUCCAAAAACAACAGAGACUUUUAUCUGAAAGUCCUUGGAUGACCGAUCCCAUUUAAAUUCAGCCUAAGCCUCUGCAGGCUGGAGUGAGGCCUGACCAUGCUGUGAGGCGGGGCCAGCAGGGACCCCAAAUAUUUUCAAGCUCUAAAAAAGCACGGUCAGAUUAUUGUUUCAAAAGAAUGAUUAACACCUCUCUGAACUGAAAUCAAAUUUGAGCACGAAAAGCCAGGAAAGGGGAUUUCUGUUCCUCCCUGAGGUGCAUGCAAAGUCUUUCUUGGAAGAAAGAAGUGGCCGUAUUUUCCUUUCAGGUUUAUCUCACAGGCAUGUGAAAGGCACUUGGGGCUUCCCAAACCAUCAAUUAAAUGCUGUGAGAAUUUGUAAAAGUUAACAAGGGGAAGAGGGAGUUAUUUGAGAAUUUCUAAACAAUUUUAAGCAGGAACAUGGAAAAAUUACCGAGCACACAUUUUAAAAUCAUCAUAUUGCAAGAUUCUAAAAUCUUUGUCUCAAAAUCUCACUGCUAGAUUAAGCUUGGCCACAGAAAACGAGACAGGAGGGCUAUUGACUUUAAUUUAGAUUCAGAAAGAGUGGUACUACCUAGCCUUGCCUCCCAAGCUAGGAAAUGUCUCCUGAGGAGAACCAGUACAGCUAACACUCCAGCCUCCUCUCCCUCAAAGCUGCCAUGUCGUAAAGGGUUUACAGUAUUGUAGAGUGGCAUCCCCCUUUCCUCCUGCCCACUCCAA
rnacentral:lncRNA from 1 species